AUUGAACGCUGGCGGCAGGCCUAACACAUGCAAGUCGAGCGAGCGGCGGACGGGUGAGUAAUGUAUGGGGACUGCCCGAUAGAGGGGGAUAACUACUGGAAACGGUAGCUAAUACCGCAUACUAUCGGCUUACCCAUAUGGGAUUAGCUAGUAGGUGGGGUAAUGGCUCACCUAGGCGACGAUCCCUAUCUGGUCUGAGAGGAUGAUCAGCCACACUGGGACUGGUACACGGCCCAGACUCCUACGGAGGAACCAGUGGGAAAUUUUGGACAAUGGGGAAAACCCUGAGCCAGCCAUCCCGCGUGGAUGAUGAAGGCCUUCGGGUUGUAAAGUACUUUUGGCAGAGAAGCGGUAUCUGCAGAGUAAGCACCGGCUAACUACGUGCCAGCAGCCGCGGUAAUUC
rnacentral:rRNA from 1 species